rnacentral:lncRNA from 1 species
UUCUGACCCUUUGGCCUCACAUCCAGUAGCAGUGUUUUACUUAAUGCUCUACAUAUAUUUUAUCUUCCAGCACAUGCAGUUAACUCCCCAAAGAACAGGAGCUUCCUGGCACCUGGGAGAAAAGAUCCUCCUAGAAGGAAGCCUGCUGUCACCUGGCAAUACAGACCAUCACAGACAGUGAAACAGUAACGCUGACAGCAGAUGUACAAACACUGAAAAUGCUAAACCAGUCACGCAACUCGGUGAGGACCCACAGCCCACAACCUGGAAGAAACUGAGUGGUCUGGAAUAAAUCAGCCUUGAAUAAGUAUGAAUUACAGUGAAAUGGAAAAUGUGAUCCCCCGCACUGAUACUCUACUUCCUCUGGCUCACAGAUGCCAGAUAUAUCACGACUGUGUCACUAGGAUAUUUGGGAAGGGGAAGAAUAGAGCUGGGAUGAAAAUGAAAAAAGAAGAGAGUUGUAGAAAAAGGAAGACAUCAGUGGAGAAGUCAAGACAGGGGAAAGAAAAUGAACAGGAGGAGAAAAAAAUAGGAAAGAAUCAAGAAUCCCAUCAUCCUAAAUCAAGAAUCCCAUCAUCCUAACAGUGGCCAGACUUCUUCCAAGUCCGAUUGAUCUUUAAAGGAUAAAUGGGGAAAAAGAUGAAGAAACAACAAAGGUUAUGAAGAUUGAGAAACUGAAAAGGACAAUAUCUUGAGUUUGUAUUAUAAUUUUUCCAAAGAAUUUUCACUCAUUUACCCCAUUUUAUCUUCACACUAUCCCUGGAUGUGUUAUUAGUUCUACUAGAUAUUAGUUCCAUUUUACAGAUGAGGAAAGUGGCACAGAGAAGUGAAGCAAACAGCCCCAGACAAGUUGGGACUAGAUUCCACGUCCCUCUGUCCCCAGACCAGUGCCCUCAGCACUACGUCCUUUCCACAGUGGCCCAAGAUUCUUUGUCACUGGCCAAAAAAUAUGAGAAAUUACAAGGGCUCCCAAUGGUUUCAAAAAAUUUAAGAUGCUUAAUGUGUUGAUAACUGUUAUAGGAAGCACUCAGUAAAUCCACUGACUACAUACAUAGGACACGUCAGUUUUAUUUUUGAUUUUACCUCCUACUUUCUCGAACUGGGGCGAAUUCAACCUUGCUGAAAUCUACACGUGUAAAAUCAUCAUACACACAUUACUUGUGUCACAGGCCUGACCUGGCAUAAAGAACUUUAUGGUUAGUUAGAAGAUCUGAAAUGAGAUUUCAUUCGUGUUUAUUUGUAUAAUUAUUAUUUUUGUAAUAAUCAUAAUUAUGAUAUUUGUUAAGCACUUACUACUUGCCAGGCACUGUACUAAGCACCAGGGUGGAUACAAGCAAAUUCAGUUGGACACAGUCUCUGUCCCACUUAGGGCUCACAGUCUCAAUCCCCAUUUUAACAGAUGAGGUAAGUGAGGCCCAGAGAAGUGAAUUGACUUGCCCAAGGUCACAUAGCAAACAAGUGGCUGAGCUGGAAUUAGAACCCAUGACCUUCAGACUCCCAAGCCCAUGCGCUAUCCACUACACCAUGCUGCUUGUCUGUAAUGCGGCUGAAGGAAACUAUCGUUCCCCUUAUGGACCCCAAAAUAAAAAGUGAAAUGGAACACCAUAUAGUAUACGACGGCAAUUCCAAAGACAAUCUUCAGGGGAAUAAACCCUUCUUCGAGCAAAACAACAUGAAGCUGUUGGGAAAUUAUCGUCCAUAGUGGUAGGAAAAAUGAGCUUCAUUCAUCAUUUCCAUUUUUUCUAGUCCCACGCUUGCCUUGCUUGGCCUCUUGUGGAUUUUUCCGCACUCUUUCUAUCUUUUUUGAAAAAGACCUCACUCUCGUCGAUGUAAAUUGAUAAUAUUCUGGAAGGGGCAGCAUCGAAGGUAAAGCGACGGUGUGCGUCUGGCUCGCUUUGCCCAUCCCUCGGCCUAAGACACUGGGGAUAAGCAGGGCUCAUCGAUCUGGGUUGUGCAGUGCAGCUUUUCCAUUUUUCUAAAGGCAUCGGCGAGGUUGAUGUUGAAUGUCGGCUUUUCCAAAUUGGGAUGGGGGCAGCGGCACUGGAGACUUCAGUAAAGCAGCAGCCUGGGGAAGAAGCCUGGGCCAGGACAAGACGGCUGGGUGGAGCCGAGGGCACAGG